rnacentral:lncRNA from 1 species
CAUCACAUUUUGUAGAUACAAUUUAAUUACAUCCUAUUUAUCUAUCUAUAUUAUCUAUCUAUAUCUAUAUCUAUAUCUAUACUAUAUAUAAAAGCACGUAUUUUAAAUUUCGGUCUGUCGACAGACUCAUUUUUUAGCGGGAAAAAUAUUAAUUCCUCUUUCCGUACAUAAAAUAAAUAACGUAAUAAAACAAACUUUUAAUUUCGGUUUAUCUCUAAAAUAGAAAAAAAAAAUAUACUUAUUCAAAUUUUUGCCAACCGAAAGAUAUCUACUGUGAAUCUAUAUUUUAAUUAAAAAAUUAUUUAAUUUUUUUAUCUCUAAAAUAGAAAAAAAUUUAUAUUUAUCUAAAUUUUUGUCAGAAUAUCUACUGUAAAUCUAUAUUUCAAUUCAAAAUUUAAAAUUAAUUUAAAAUUUAAAAUUUUGGGACUAUCAAUAUAUUACAAUGAAAAUAAUUUAAAAAAUAGAUUGGUUGAUAAAUUUGUAAAUCAUAUUUUUGAAUUAAUAUGAUGUACAAAUUUAUGAUCAAUUUGUAAAAAACUAUCU